CGAUCAACCACACUGGGACUGAGACACGGCCCAGACUCCUACGGGAGGCAGCAGUAGGGAAUCUUGCGCAAUGGGCGAAAGCCUGACGCAGCAACGCCGCGUGAGGGACGAAUGCUUUCUGAGUUGUAAACCUCUUUCAGCAGGGACGAUUGUGACGGUACCUGCAGAAGAAGCACCGGCCAACUACGUGCCAGCAGCCGCGGUGAUACGUAGGGUGCAAGCGUUGUCCGGAUUUAUUGGGCGUAAAGAGCUCGUAGGCGGUUUGGUAAGUCAGGUGUUAAAUCCCCAGGCUCAACCUGGGGCUGCCAUCUGAUACUGCCAUGACUUGAGUCCGGUAGGGGACCACGGAAUUCCAGGUGUAGCGGUGAAAUGCGCAGAUAUCUGGAGGAACACCAGUAGCGAAGGCGGUGGUCUGGGCCGGCACUGACGCUGAGGAGCGAAAGCGUGGGGAGCGAACAGGAUUAGAUACCCUGGUAGUCCACGCCGUAAACGUUGGGCACUAGGUGUGGGGACUAUUCACGGUUUCCGCGCCGCAGCUAACGCAUUAAGUGCCCCGCCUGGGGAGUACGGCCGCAAGGCUAAA
rnacentral:rRNA from 1 species